rnacentral:rRNA from 1 species
GAUGAACGCUGGCGGCGUGCUUAACACAUGCAAGUCGAACGGGAAUUAUUUUAUUGAAACUUCGGUCGAUUUAAUUUAAUUCUAGUGGCGGACGGGUGAGUAACGCGUGAGUAACCUGCCUUAUACAGGGGGAUAACAGUCAGAAAUGGCUGCUAAUACCGCAUAAGCGCACAGAGCUGCAUGGCUCAGUGUGAAAAACUCCGGUGGUAUAAGAUGGACCCGCGUUGGAUUAGCUGGUUGGUGGGGUAACGGCCCACCAAGGCGACGAUCCAUAGCCGGCCUGAGAGGGUGAACGGCCACAUUGGGACUGAGACACGGCCCAGACUCCUACGGGAGGCAGCAGUGGGGAAUAUUGCACAAUGGGGGAAACCCUGAUGCAGCGACGCCGCGUGAAGGAAGAAGUAUCUCGGUAUGUAAACUUCUAUCAGCAGGGAAGAUAGUGACGGUACCUGACUAAGAAGCCCCGGCUAACUACGUG